AUGCACCGGGCUGCCCUUUUUUUACUUCUCCAACGGCUAGUUUUCAUGUCCAUAUACACAAGUUCAUCCCCCAUAUCUCUCUCGCUCUCUCUCACACACACACUCCUGUCUCUGUCUCCUCUUCCACAUCACAUUCCCCAUCUCUCCCGCAACGAAAUGAGCCGCCACCGUCGCAGCUUGGCCUGGCAAUACUUCCUGGAUUCCUCGUCCGACGAAGAGGAGCUACUCUACAUGGCCGCAAUCAUAGCACAAGAAGAGCAAGAGCGGCUGGACGCUCCUCCAGAGCACAGCAUUUCUGCGCCGGCAAGUCUCUGCUCCUCUGUCUUUGACGCAUCCGGUACAACCUCCCGCGUCCACCAGCCCACUGCAUCCACCACAUCCACCGCGACCUCCCGCGUCCGCCGCGCCCGCCGCCCCGGCUCCGCUCCCCGGUCACCGCCCCCGCGGCGCCGCGGAUCGCCUGCGCGGACGGCGGUGACCGCCUCUCCCGCUUCCCCAGGCCACCCUGUCAGCGGCGUGGCGGCCGGAAGGAGGAGCCUUCCGGCCGGCUUCGUCGCGCGGACCGGGGAGGGGACGGAGGCGGAGCCCGGGGUCGAGGAGAGCGGAUAG
rnacentral:rRNA from 1 species